rnacentral:rRNA from 1 species
UACGUAGGGUGCGAGCGUUAAUCGGAAUUACUGGGCGUAAAGCGUGCGCAGGCGGUUUUGUAAGCCAGAUGUGAAAUCCCCGGGCUCAACCUGGGAAUGGCAUUUGGAACUGCAAGACUAGAGUAUGGCAGAGGAGACUAGAAUUUCUGGUGUAGCAGUGAAAUGCGUAGAUAUCAGAAGGAAUACCGAUGGCGAAGGCAGGUCUCUGGGUUAAUACUGACGCUCAUGCACGAAAGCGUGGGGAGCAAACAGG